UCUUCGAUGGUCUAGUGGUGAUGAUUUCCGCUUGUCAUCAAACGCUGAUUACAAGUUGCGCGGGAGAGCGGGGUGUGUAUUAAAAUGAUCCGAUUGAGUUAUCCAAAUUACUGAUUCUCAAUUAGGUUCGAUUCCCCGUCGGAGAG